AGAACGAACGCUGGCGGCAUGCCUAAUACAUGCAAGUCGAACGAAGGCUUCGGCCUUAGUGGCGCACGGGUGCGUAACGCGUGGGAAUCUGCCCCCUUGGUUCGGAAUAACAGUUGGAAACGACUGCUAAUACCGGAUGAUGACGAAAGUCCAAAGAUUUAUCGCCAAGGGAUGAGCCCGCGUAGGGUUAGCUAGUUGGUGAGGUAAAGGCUCGCCAAGGCGACGAUCCUUAGCUGGUCUGAGAGGAUGAUCAGCCACACUGGGACUGAGACACGGCCCAGACUCCUACGGGAGCAGCAGUAGGGAUAUUGGACAAUGGGCGAAAGCCUGAUCCAGCAAUGCCGCGUGAGUGAUGAAGGCUUAGGUUGUAAAGCUCUUUUACCCGAGAUGAUAAUGACAGUAUCGGAGAAUAAGCCCCGGCUAACGUCCGUGCCCAGCCGACGCCGAC
rnacentral:rRNA from 1 species